AGCGAACGCUGGCGGCAGGCCUAACACAUGCAAGUCGAACGAACUCUUCGGAGCUAGUGGCGGACGGGUGAGUAACACGUGGGAACGUGCCUAUUGGUUCGGAAUAACUCAGGGAAACUUGUGCUAAUACCGAAUGCGCCCUUCGGGGGAAAGAUUUAUCGCCAUUAGAGCGGCCCGCGUCUGAUUAGCUAGUUGGUGAGGUAACGGCUCACCAAGGCGACGAUCAGUAGCUGGUCUGAGAGGAUGACCAGCCACACUGGGACUGAGACACGGCCCAGACUCCUACGGGAGGCAGCAGUGGGGAAUCUUGCGCAAUGGGCGAAAGCCUGACGCAGCCAUGCCGCGUGAAUGAUGAAGGUCUUAGGAUUGUAAAAUUCUUUCACCGGGGACGAUAAUGACGGUACCCGGAGAAGAAGCCCCGGCUAACUUCGUG
rnacentral:rRNA from 1 species